UACAGAGGGUGCAAACGUUGCUCGGAAUCAUUGGGCGUAAAGCGCACGUAGGCGGCCCAUCAAGUGGGGAGUGAAAGCCCUCGGCUUAACCGAGGAAGUGCGUUCCAAACUACUGGGCUUGAAUACUGGAGAGGGUCGCGGAAUUCCCGGUGUAGAGGUGAAAUUCGUAGAUAUCGGGAGGAACACCAGUGGCGAAGGCGGCGACCUGGACAGAUAUUGACGCUGAGGUGCGAAAGCGUGGGGAGCAAACAGG
rnacentral:rRNA from 1 species